CUUUUCUUCAGCUCGCUCAUAGAAUUUUCUCAGAAGAAUAUUUUUGGCUUCAGUAGUUAUCACUGCCAAAAUGAUUUUUCAGACAAAUUAGAGACAAUAAGGAAAUUGUCUUUAGAUCACUGCAUACAAGAAAACUGUAUUACAAAAAAAAAAUUAGGGAAAAUGCAACUGACCAAACUUGCUCAAGUUUUUGAGACCUAGACACCACCUCCGUAGCACAAACUUUUCAGAAUGUUCUUACUAUAUCCACAAUAACAGACACUAAUAAAGACCUACACAGGUCUCAGUCAAAGUUGAUAUGAAACUCAUGGAAGCAAGAGGAAUGCAGGUCAUGGGGAGCCAAACUGACUCAGCCUAGUAAUGAAUGUAUGUAAAUCCCACAUUGGUCC
rnacentral:misc_RNA from 1 species